CCCUUCUGCAUUAAAAGAACUCUGCUAUAAUUGUGUGAUCCAGAUUGAAUCUGUUUCACGCACUAAUGCUAGCAGAGUAUUGUGUAGAAGGAGAUCAUUGUGCACUCUACCGGAAAUGAGAUGUGGUCGAACCUCUUUCUUAAUGUUCGAUGGCCUCCUUCUCAAGGUCUAGUGCCAUAAAG